GGCUCGGGGCCGCCGCCGGCGCGCCCGGAGCGGCGCGGGGCGCACCCCGCGAGGAGCGCCGGAUCCCGGGGCGGGAGGCACGCAGGAAUUUUUCAAAUAGAAACUAAUUGCAGAGUUUCCGGUUCACCAGGCAUUCAUAGGAAUGAAGACAAUCACAGAGAUGGUGUGUCUAAGAAAUUUCAAAAGGUGUAGGCCUCCUGACUGAAGCACAGUCAACUUAUUGGAUUCAUU